CCUACGGGUGGCAGCAGUGGGGAAUAUUGCGCAAUGGGCGAAAGCCUGACGCAGCGACGCCGCGUGAGGGAUGGAGGUCUUCGGAUCGUAAACCUCUGUCCGCAGGGAAGAACGGUCACUGUGCUAAUCAGCAGUGAAUUGACGGUACCUGCAAAGGAAGCACCGGCUAACUCCGUGCCAGCAGCCGCGGUAAUACGGAGGGUGCGAGCGUUAAUCGGAAUGACGGGGCGUAAAGCGCUCGUAGGCGGUAUGUGAAGUCAAGGGUGAAAGCCCCGGGCUCAACGUGGGAACGGCAUUUGAUACGGGGAAACUGGAGUGUGUGAGAGGAUAGUGGAAUUCCAGGUGUAGGAGUGAAAGCCGUAGAUAUCUGGAGGAACAUCAGUGGCGAAGGCGACUAUCUGGCACAUAACUGACGCUGAGGAGCGAAAGCGUGGGUAGCAAACAGGAUUAGAUACCCCUGUAGUC
rnacentral:rRNA from 1 species